ACAAUCACCAAGUGUCUCACUUAAUAGCUCCAUUCCUGGAAUAAACUCUACUGGAAUCUCCAGCAAUGUGCUUGGCAGGGAGCACGCAGCAUGUCAAACGCGAACCACUCAAAGAAUGCGACCGACGAUGCACGGCAGCCACAGCCUGUCAUCUCAUUGCAGUCGGCUGCGUUGCCACACAAUGCACACAGGAAGAAAUCUUUAAUUCAGACACAACUGCUAACUCAGAGAAAGGUGAUGCCAUGGUACCAGCAUUCCCUUACAAGAACUGAGCAAAUGGUUGAGGCAGCUGAAAAUGCACCUGCUUGGGGCUCUCCCUGCCUCACCGCCAGGCUGAGGCUGCCUGCUGCAGUCAGCACGAGGACCGCCUGCUUCUCCACUCCUCCCUCCUGCCACCUGUAGCGCUGGCUGCGACUGCUGGUGCAGACAUUCCUAAGAGCAUGCACAACAACGUUUCCUCGGAGCUCACAGCAGUGACAGCCACAUACCAGUCCUGCGGAAUAAAGCCAGCGUGAUUUUGGUAUUUUGAUAAAGGGCAUCCCCUCUCAUCCCCACAAGCUGGCAGGUUUGUGGUGCUUCUAGGAGGCCCCUGCAGCAUCCUUCCAGCUGCAGUCACCGACAGGCUCCUCGUGUGCCUCCAGCCGCCACCGUGCUCCCAGACGCCCUUUUCUGUGACUUAAUCUUGGACGACUAUCAAAGGGAACUCAGAAAGCUUCCAUUCCAUGUAGGCUCAUAGCCAAAUGCACAAUUUAAAUGUGACUGCCCUAGGGCCUGCCCAUCAGUUGCAUCUAAAUACGGUAGGGACCAGACACUGAAAGAAAAGCCUGGCGCAAAACGCGCUCCCUGGGGGUCCAGCUAAAGGGCAGGCACCACCUACACAUCUGCGAGGGCGCCAGCACAGAUACCGAAGUUCCUCAAAACCUGGUAUGCGUCUUUGAAGCUGUGCUCGUGGAAGGCUGAAAGCUGCACAAGUGUGAACAAUGGAGAACAUGAAUACUCAGAGAUGAUUCCUGGGUGCAAAGCAUUUCAGAAAGGCUUGACGUGCGGCUUACUGAUGACCGCAGAGAGACACAAAAAGAGAGGCACUUAUACAGAGAACUGCCUGAAACCCAGAUCAGUUACAGCAGUGGUCUGAGGAGACACCACACAGCCCUCUAUACUAGCACAGGAUUUUUGCUCAGCAAUACCAAAGUCCCACAGCAAGCCUCGGUGAAAUCGGGGCAUGGCAAAUUGAGGGAUCCCAAAACAUCCACCAGGUAGGAAGGCAGAGCAUCCCAGAAAGUAAAGAAAACUGGGAGUAUGAACCGAAGGCAUAAAACCAGAGCAUUUUCAACGCUUUUAUGAACACUCGGAUACACAGUAGUGUGAAUUACAUUACAAUGAAGGCUUUAAUCAGACUAACAACUAUUUGGGGUGUUUUAAGUUAUCCAAUUGAAAUCACUAGCUCCCUGAGUGCAGACAAAUCCUCUGACUGCUUUUAAGGCAUUUUCUUACCUUAUAUAUUUGAGGGUUUCCUCAAUCAUUUUUAUACUGCAUUUGGAAAUAUUGCAGUCUGCACUGUUUGCUGGCUGCACUUUAAGAGGAUUGUGGAUGGGGGGGGAGGGGGGGGGGGGAAGGAAAAGGAGAGAAUUUUAUGCUCUCAGCUGCUUCGCAGUUGCAUAAACUUUGCCAGCGUGAACCUCCUGGGAGAGCUGUACUAUAGGCAUUAUGACUCAGCCCUGCUCUGGAUGAAGUCACUGUCAAGUGGAAGCAAACUAUUUGUUUCUAACAACAUAUAUGGUGAACUCCAAAUGCAAGUUCAAGACAAAGCUGUCUUUAUUUCUCCCACCCACUUUGCUAUUGUUUUGUUCAGUUCAGAUUGCAAAGGAGCCCACAAUCUAAGUGAGUGCCAGAAGGAAAGCAAACCAACUGACAUCACCAUGUGAGCAAAAGAAGUUCCCUGCUUUCAUGGACUAGAACCCAAAGAUUUUUUUUCCCGACUCAUUGUUACUGAGAUUUGUAACUAUCAUAGAGCUAUUCUUUCCAGGGUUGGAGGAUUACAAUAUGCUAUAUAAUGUCCCCCUUCCCCCCUUAUUAAUCCAUUUUUAAAUAAUGGAUUUAAAAAUAGAAUCCCCUUUAACUAUGUAGUAACAUGUGACAACAGAGACCUUUGCAUCUCUUAUUUAUGCUGUGUGUUGCUUAAAGGAAGCAGUGCUGCUCCUUGCCUGUUAGCAAGCACCUUGUCUGGCACAUCCGCAGCCACCCCACGUAAUCAUGGAAGCAGAGUCCAUGCUGUCAACACCAGAGACGAGGCACAAAGGCUAUCAACGCGCUCUUUUUUUAGACAAAGAGUUAACCUUGAAGACAAUCCCGGCAUAGACCAUUUAAAGCACAUGUGCCAUCUUUGAAACUGCAUCUAAAUUAGGACUGGCAAUUCAUGUAAUGGUUUCAAAUGCUACAAAUUUGUCUUGGAUAACAGAGUGGGAAAGAGGACGAGCAGAGAGCUGCCGGUGCCCCGCAGAGUGCAAUUUAGAGGGGCUUUAAGUAGCCUCUGUGAGUCAGGGACUUGGUGACAUUCUAGCACAGCAGCAAUAGGCUGCUCCUAUCAAGGAGAUUUAUGAAAGCGUUUUCAUUUAUAAUCACCACUGAAACAUCCUAGUAGGACUGAAUCAUAUACCAAAAUAUAGACCUGUUCUUGCUUGGAGAUAGGCUUAAGCACAUGAUUCAAUCCAUCGUUAAUCACAACGCUGGAAUUGCCAGUCCCAACUGGAGGCUGGCAGAACAAUGUCAGUUAAUCCCCGCCUCACAAAACCUGUCAUCGCUCACUUAUCUUGUUCCAUUGGGGUGGCUGGAAUAAGAGGCCUGCUAGAAAUGCCCGAUUGUUCUCUAAGGGACUCGUGCCUCUUUUGGAGAGACCCAAUUUAUAAAAGCAAAAUGAAAAAUGAAUAGAAAAGUGAGAAGUUUUCAUUUAAAAACUGCUCUGUUUGUCAAGCAACCAGUUUCCAGUAAAGUAACCUUUAAAAAGAAAAAGUGCUAAAUGUGUAAACACUCUUGUCUUAGCAAAAAGAAAAAAUUCUGGGAGGAAAAAUCCCCCUCCCAAAGUACAGAUUAUAAUCUUCUUCACCUCCAGUACCAAAUUUUCUCACUGUAAGCUUUAUCUUUAAUGCAAUGCUAAUGGUAACAAUUUCUCGCUUGGGCUAUUACACACCAGCUGGCAGAAGCACAGCACGAUGCACCCACUGGCUAAAGAAAAUCUUCACUUUUGCAUGUUAAACCUGAAGUCACAUGGUUUUAUAAUAAUCCAGUGAGCAAGCAUGAGACAUUCAUCCUCAAAAUCCCACAGAAACCCUACGGUGAUUUGCUCAUCUUACACUUUAAUCUAUUACAGAAAUUCAUCUCUACACUUUCAGUAUUUGUAUUCAAAGGGCACUGAAAACCAGCACUUAACCGUGGGGUUAUAGCACGGACCAAAACGCACCUGGUGCUAAAGGUAACAAGGAGCUGAAAUUUGAUUUCCACAGAUGAAUGAUCAAACACUUUUUUGGACCAGGUUUCUACCCCAACACCCACAGUUUUCUCCAUAUAAUCUGCCCCAACUUAGAUAAAAGCAGACUGUUAGUUUAUGUUUACUGGAGGCAUCGUUACCUGGCAGUAGCUUUGUUUUGUGAACAUGCAUGUGAUGGGCAAGGCCUGGCCACUGAAGUUGCAGCCAAAUUUACGAAAUAGACUAAAAGCACAGUUGGUUUAUUUUGUCCUAUUUCUCCCUUUCCCUUGCUGUGCUGAGAAAAUAUACAUCACUGAAUCAGUUCUUACAAAGGACUGAAAACUGUACAAUAGCCCUUAGUCGGGUUUCUCUUUGGGAAUGUCACACGCACAGCUUGGUAGAGAGUUCUGGAACUGAACUUUGCUUCGUAAACCUGACUAUGUUCAAAAACUGGCACCUCAGAAGGCAAAAAUUGUCCUGUUUUCACUCCUUCCCAUCAUCCAGAACCACUGCUUUCUUGUGAUACCCUGCCCGGCCCUACAGUACAGGCAGGGAGGGCGACUUGCCCCGUGCCCCUCUCCCGUUCCCAGCCCCACAGCUCGGGGCAGCGGGGACGGAGCUCCACCACUGCCAGCCUCAGCCUCUCAGCAGUCUCAUUCCCAAGGGUUUGAGGAAGAAACAUGUGCCAGACAGCAGCGCGGGGAGCCAGCCCCAUCCUGCCACACCACUCAGCACACUGCAGGACCAAACAGGCCCCGCGUAGACCUCCCUUCGACUCCAUGAAUGUCAACAGAGGUGCAAAGGUCUGUGCAAGCAGCUCCCAGCACAAGACAAAAAUUAUAACUUAAGAUCACAAAAAACAUAGCAUAAAUCACAGUUGUCCAGGUCAGGCCACAGACAUGACCCCAUGAGACUUCCUGAGUAACAAUGUCUGAAAAACACAACUUGACUUCUGAACAGCAGCAAGCCAUGGAACUUCAGAGCUGACCAGAAACAUUUACCAUAGUUUUCAGCAUCAACUCCAACUAAAACCAAAAGUCACAGCGGGCUCAGGCAGCGCACAGCUGGACAUAGAAGAGCGGUCACAUUUCUUGUCACGUACGGCUCGCUAUGCGUGAGCAUGUGAGGGCGCUGGGCUGAGCAGGCCCGAGCCACCCCACAGCAUCAGGACCACACAGCCCCAGCAGCAGCUCCUCCGCAGCCUCCUGGGCCUACCCGAAGAAGUCCCGUGCUGUCACAGCGCCACGUGCACGUGGGGAUGGCUCAGGGGGUUGGCACUAUUUCCUCACAACCUGCAACUGCACCUCUUCACCCAGAGCCACAGCUGGCUGCCAGCAGCAGCAGCAGCACGAGGGAGCGGCGUACCGGGACGUCGGAACUUGGCUUCUGCCUCCAUUCGCUGGCACGACCAGGAUAUAGCCGAGGGCAGACAAUAACCCUACUGCAAAUACUAAAAUUUCACGAUGACUUGUAUGAUGGAAACGUUACUCAAGUCCAGUUUUGGUUACCUUACUUCAUGCAUAAAAAUAAAAACACAGACAGACACACACAUUUCUCCUCACAGCACUUCGGCUCUUUUCCAAGAGCGUUUUAAACAACCUGCAAAUACUAAUAAAAAGUAACUAAAAGUAAGUCUCAAGAAAGAUAUGUUUUCUUUUUUUUUGUAUUACCUUCGUGCAUUUAGUUUUGUUAUUCAUUCUGGACCAUUUGCUUUUCACAUUCAUUUGCCACUCUGCUCCGACCAAGAAAUUAUUUUGCUUAAAAUGUGAGAAAACUGCAACUUCCCUUCAAUUUUCCUUUUCUCAGAAUGCUGAGAGGAAAGUACUUCUACCUGAUAUUUAAGUCCUUAGCCUCCUUUUACUUCUGUUCAUACAAACACUCCAGGAGGAGGGCUCAAACACAUCCAGGUUUCAAUGACAAACAAAUUAACUGUCUGGAAGGAAGUAAAUGGAAAGUCCUUAGGUAUUGCCGAGGUUUCCGUUAGGAGAUGCAGAACAACUCCAGGGUAAUUCAUUUGCAACAAAGCUGGGAGGCUGCCAGGAAUCCAGGACAUAAACCUUCAGUUCGGUUGUAUUUGCUCGCAUCAAAACAGUCUGGCCGUAUUUCUGUUAUUUUAUAUGGAUUCUCAGCAAGGAAGGCACUGCAACGGGCUAGGAAUAAGUUGGAACUUUUUUGACUUCGAAAGGAAACCUGUGAAAAGCUGCAAGGGAAUAAAGCUAUCUUUUGAAACUUCACUAGCCAAUGGUCACAGAUGAGGGUCCGAUAUUACUCAAUGCCAGGAAGUGGGGGGCACCCCUUAAACCUUGAAAAAGAUUGGAACAGUUCCUUUGCCAGCCUUCAGUCACUGCAUGAAAAAUUCAACUGCAAUUAGCAUUUAGUACAAAGCACUUUCUGUAGGCUGACAAUAGAUAGUCAGACCAGAAAGUGUACAUAACAAGAACGGAAUCCUGCUUUAAAUUGCAUGGUUUUUGUUAACAAUGAAACGAUCUCCUCUUUUCCCCAGAAAAUGCAGAUACAUAUAAGUGCCAUUGGUUGGUAGCGUGAAUUAAGAGCAAGAAACAGAAGUUUAGAUUAAAAAGCGUUAGGGUAAGUUCAGGGACACGUUAAAUGGAAAUGCUUAUUUUGCUGUUCCAUUAAAUAGGCAAGCUCAAUGCAUGUGACAUCCAGCCCUAUUCUUUAUGAUCACUAUUCACCAUCAAUCAUUUAAGCCCUAUGUCAGACCUGCCUAAGUGAAGUGCCCAUGGCUCUGAAUGACUGCGGUGUGCGCUGUGCACCACGAGGGAAACCAAAGAUAAACUAUUAUACUACUAAAUACCUCUGAGAGAAAAAAAGAAAAAUAAAAGGAUCUAUGCAUUACAUAAAUUUCCAUGACAUUUCAAUUAAUCUCUUAGUGCUAUUUACAGUCUGUAAACGACACAGCACAGGUAUCUGUGCCUAAGGAUAAAAUCCCAGAGAAUAAAGUACUAACUGAGUCUUAGCUGGGAUGAUUUGACUUAAAGCAAACGUUAAAACCAAACAGCAUCACUACCUUUCACAUCUGCAUGCAGAGACAAAAGUGGCUGAUAAC